ACAUGAGGGGGGGGGGGAGGAGGAAGAGGAGGAGGAGGAGGAAGAGGCGAGGAGGAGGAAGAACAAGCAAACCAGCCUGCUGCUACCAGCCGGGCAGGGAAGGGCCAAGAAGAACCAGGGCUGGAGACGCUGCCAUUAUUGCCACCCCCAGACUGUGAAUGGAAAGAGAUUUCAAUUGUUGUUCCAGGAUGUCCAAAAGGAAAUAUCAAGCCAUGCAGGAUCCAGACCCCACAGCCUGGCUCUGUGUAAGUCCUGCCCGCCUCUCCUGGAGUCCUGAGAAAUGGCCUCCACAUAAGGAAAGCAGCAAGAGAUCCUAAAGCAACAGCUCCUUCACAACUGCUCCUGAGCCCCUGCACCCACCUUGCCUCCACUGAGGUGUGACCUCUCAGGGUGAUUGAUGAGGUGAAAUUCUUUACAGAAGCACUCCAGCUAAAUAAUGAAGAUGGAAUGAAAGAACUGGAGUAGUACCAUUCUAUAACUUCUAAUGGAAUAGUGGAACUAGCAACAUAAUCGGUAGUUAGGUGAACAACUAACUACUAUUCGGUGAACAGCUAAUAGGGAACUGAUGGAUCGGGCUGAUGACAGCUGAACCCAUUGCGCCUCCUGACAAGCAGCAAUAGGAGUAUGCAACUCAACCAUCCCUGCCCUCCACAUCCCCCAGAAAGGAACCCGAAUGGGACCGAGCCUCAGGUCUAGAUCUAAACCACCAGUUUAAAGCAAGACAACAAAGGGAUGGAGGAUAUUGUUCCAAAAGACACCCGAGACAUGCUAUCAGCAUCUUUAUAAACCUAGAUACACACUGACAUAUGUACAGAAGUUACAUGAAGUUUCAGAUUUCUUUCAAGAUAACCUACUGGGGUUUGAGGAGUGCAUUAGCAUACAGCUCUCCUUCCUUGCCAGUCUUUGGCCUGCUCCCACCUCCAUUUUCCCUCCUCUGUUGAAGAUAUCCACACCUGGCCAAGCCUCCAGUAGCAUCUGCGUUUACUUAGAAGAUUGCAUUCCAACAACACAAAGUGCAUAGACACACGGGCCCUAUCCCCUGCUAGGGCAGCAACCGUCCCAUGUGCUGGAAGCAGAGAUUUCCUGGGAUGUGGGACUUUCAGUGCUAAAACUGAGGAUACCUGGAAAACCAGCUCAGCAAGCCUCUUCUGUCCUACCUACACGGAGCUCCUGUUCAAUUGUUUUCUCUGCCUUUAUCUCUUCAACUGAACUGAAAUCUGCAUGUCUCUAGAGAACUCCAGUGACCUCAAACAAGCGUCACUUCUCCCCUACUGUGUCCUGAUACUACAGGCUAACUGCUUGUGUCCCUUCCAAAUUCAUUAUGUUAAAUCAUAACACUCAAUGUGAUGGUAUUUGGAGGUGGGGCCUUGGGAGAUGAUUAAGUCAUGAGGGUGAAGCCAUCCUGAGUAGGAAUGGUGCCCCUGUAAAAGAGACCCCAGAGAGCUCCCUCGUCCUUCAGCCAGGGACUAAAAGACCACAAAGAAUCCCUGAUGGUGGAAGCCAGCCAUGGGAGCAUCAUAUAAAGCACCCUUUAGUGGCAGGACCUGUGUGUCUCGCCAUGCUGAGGCCUGCAAAAUGCUUGUUUACCAUUGUGCCUCCAGUGAACACACAGUGUGUUUUGACUAUAAUGCUGAACCAAUGCCGAAGCUUCUCUACAGGUUCUUCUGUAGCCAUAAUACAGAUGUGCAGGUAAUGGGAACAAAGACUGGCUGUAUGGCUCCUGAAAUCACAGUUAAAUGCUAUUUUAAGGGAAGGUGGAAAGUCCUAACUGCAUAUUGUGCCGUAAUAAAGGCAACCUUAUUAAAAACCUGGCAAAAGAAGUCAGAGGCAGCCAAUUUUAAACCAGGGAAUGAGUUAUAUAUGCUCAAUAAACAAGUUAAAAAAUAAAAAACGAGAGACAAAAAUCAGGAAGAAACCUAUUUUCCGGACAGAUAGGUGUCUGUUUAGGAAAGCCACCUUUUACAUCAGUAUGAGAUAACAAGAGCAAUGAAAGUCUUGGUGAUGUGAUGUAGGGCUGUUCAACAGUGAUACUCCAAAUAAAGGUAUUUCCCACUAGUUGCUCAGUCCUGGAUGUCUUACAAGCCAUAUCCAUCCUCUGGUACCUCUGCUGCCCUGUCCAAAGUUCCCCUGUUAUCCCUCCGAAAGUGUUUAGAAUCCAUUUGCCCAGUGAGAACAUGCAGGGAUGGCUAUCUACCUCUGGCGCCUUUUCUCCUGCUCAUUUUCCAAUGCUGUUUUUAUUUUACUAAAAUUGGGCCUGAGACAACAUUCUUGCUAGAUUAUAUACACCCA